rnacentral:rRNA from 1 species
GAUGAACGCUGGCGGCGUGCCUAAUACAUGCAAGUCGAGCGAACGGACGAGAAGCUUGCUUCUCUGAUGUUAGCGGCGGACGGGUGAGUAACACGUGGAUAACCUACCUAUAAGACUGGGAUAACUUCGGGAAACCGGAGCUAAUACCGGAUGAUAUUUUGAACCGCAUGGUUCAAAAGUGAAAGACGGUCUUGCUGUCACUUAUAGAUGGAUCCGCGCUGCAUUAGCUAGUUGGUAAGGUAACGGCUUACCAAGGCAACGAUGCAUAGCCGACCUGAGAGGGUGAUCGGCCACACUGGAACUGAGACACGGUCCAGACUCCUACGGGAGGCAGCAGUAGGGAAUCUUCCGCAAUGGGCGAAAGCCUGUCGGAGCAACGCCGCGUGAGUGAUGAAGGUCUUCGGAUCGUAAAACUCUGUUAUUAGGGAAGAACAUAUGUGUAAGUAACUGUGCACAUCUUGACGGUACCUAAUCAGAAAGCCACGGCUAACUACGUG